AACAAGCCAGAAAACAGCAGAGUUGAAGCCACUUUAACUCACCUGUAUCCUGCUCAGUCUGCCGGUUUGAUCCAUGGAGGAGCUCUGACUGCGAGUAACUCAGGAGUUGUUCAGGGGAUUCAAACCUGACACGGCGGCUCACGCAAUAAAAGCAUCUGGGGAUCAGCGUCUCUCUGAGCUCGUCAUCAAUCCAUUAACUUUCACACGAUGUGACCUUCACAACACUUCAGUUAAGAUCAGGGAAGGCUAACUCUAAUUUAACCCGGGUUACAGUCCAGCCAGGCCCGGACCACUCCUGAAGUAUCCGGUUCAGGUUCUUUACAUCCGCUCCCUGAAAGCCCUGACCUGGUGGUUCACUUGGCUGCCAUUCAACAACAACAUACCUGAGAACCAAACCAUCUGUGGGUGUCUCUGCUUCUACCUCCCGUGGUGCUCCCUCCCUCCCUCAGUGAAAACCACUGUGUCUUUCAGUGCAGCGGCAGCUUCUGUGCGGACAGGAGCACAGCGGUACACGUCAGCGACCGGAGACCCUGUGCACAUGUGCCAGAGAGAAGAUGGUGCGCUGACAGGUGCAGUGACCAUGACAAACGCUGUAGCGGUCGGAGGUGGACUCACCGCUGGACUGGGACAGGGUCAGUGCUGAGGAUGGAGAUGAUUGAUUAGAUGUCGUUACACACACAGUUUGUAUCGUUUAGAAGCUUUUUAAACUCUUUUUGUAGUCGAGGAUUAAAAAGUCUGUUUAUCACUGAGGGGUUAAGCACAAAGGUACUGCAGCAAAGGAGGAGCAAGUGCUCACUGACCCCUCCCAGAUUUAUCCUGCAGGGCAGGAGAUUCACCUUUAACCUUUCGAGCUUGUUAAAUAUCUCUCAUAACUCUGCUUAUGAAGACACCUACUCCAUGUUUACGUGCUGUUCAGUGCAGCAGUUCGAUUCUACCUGGUAAUAGGGUUGCAAAACUUAUAUGUAUGAUAUAUGGAAAUUUGCGAAGUUGCACUUUAGCCUGUAACAGUGAACUUACAUGUAGAAGAAGAAAACAUCUGGCAGCAUAAUGUUGGUUAAAACAACCAGAAUGCACAUUCAGGGAGGGAGUCACAGGGAAUAUGUUUCUUCAACAUUUAUGUUUUUGUUUUUGUUUUUUUGUUCUACUCUCAAACAAAAACACAAGUAUGUCAUUUUUAAAAUAUGUGUUAGUUUACAGCAUGUGACCAAACAAAAUGUUUAUGUUUGUAUAUGAUACAGUUUAUGACCCCAAAUUUCCUGUUAAUUCCCAUGGAAACUUUCCAACUUGGAAUGUUUCUGUCUUGAGUGGUCAACAAGGUCCGAGCUUUGCAGUCAUCUCUCAGUCUGAGUGGUGAUGCUGAAGUGCAGUUUAGUUCUGAUAUGUUGGACUCUUCAUGAUGUUUUUGUGAUAAAUAAACAAGUUGGAGGAAACCUGGGAUUCAGCCCGGCCUCAAAAUGUUGUAAAAUAAACACAAAGUGAAAUGAACUGAAGAAAUAAAUGAAAACACCAAAUGGACAAACUGUGGCUCAUCAUAUUUAUCAGGACGAAAUGUUGCCUAAUUCAGUUAAAGCAAUAAAAAAAAUCUAAAUAUAUUUUCCACAAACACACUGCAGAAAACCUCUGAACUGUGAGUUACUGGAGGUGAAGGCAAAUGUGUUUGACUUGUUCAUUCACCACCUCAUCCUCAGCACUCUUACUCCCACUGUAUUAGCUGAGUGUCAGUCUACAGGCUGCCUCCGGCCACGUCUCCGUGGAAUCAUUUUGCAUCGAGAAAACAAGUUUGUUUUAGUGCACCGAAUAAACAGCCGAGGCCCAGUUGGUUAAAACACUAACUGCUCCCCAUCGCUGCCCGAAAAUUGUUUUUAAAUGUUGGGUGAAAAUGGCCUGUAAUGACUUGUUUGCUUCUUUCAUUAACCAUCACUUCAGAAGAGAUCAGGAAUGAUUCCUCUGACACAAAGUGCAGGUCAGAUUAAUGUGCAACUCAAGCAAACAGCCCAAUAACAGCUCUGUCUGAUA